rnacentral:rRNA from 1 species
AUUGAACGCUGGCGGCAGGCCUAACACAUGCAAGUCGAGCGGAUGAAGGGAGCUUGCUCCUGGAUUCCGCGGCGGACGGGUGAGUAAUGCCUAGGAAUCUGCCUGGUAGUGGGGGAUAACGUCCGGAAACGGGCGCUAAUACCGCAUACGUCCUGAGGGAGAAAGUGGGGGAUCUUCGGACCUCACGCUAUCAGAUGAGCCUAGGUCGGAUUAGCUAGUUGGUGGGGUAAAGGCCUACCAAGGCGACGAUCCGUGACUGGUCUGAGAGGAUGAUCAGUCACACUGGAACUUGGACACGGUCCAGGCUCCUACGGGAGGCAGCAGUGGGGAAUAUUGGACAAUGGGCGAAAGCCUGAUCCAGCCGUGCCGCGUGUGUGGAGAAGGUCUUCGGAUUGUAAAGCACUUUAAGUGGGGAGGAAGGGCAGUAAGUUAAUACCUUGCUGUUUUGACGUUACCAACAGAAUAAGCACCGGCUAACUUCGUG